AUCAAACUCAGGGGGCGGGCUCUGACCAAAACCAUGUGGGGUCGGUUUCCGAAAGCGAUCAAUCUUAGAGAAUAACGAACAAGAUAACGAAAAACCCUCCACGUGAAAAAAUCACAGACUGUCGAUGACAGGAACAUCGAUUCCAUGUAUCUCAGUGCUGCAAAGAAACCACACCCACAAAACAAC